AUUGAUGAGAGAGAGAGAGAGAGCUACAUCUACGUAUCGAUUUUGAGUCUACGAUUGAAUCUUGCAACAAAGAAGUUGAGAUUCAGCACGUACUGAUUAAAUUAAAGAAGAGUUACAUCAUCUGAUCCAAUCGUGGAAACACUCCACACAACUAAAAGUCAGUUCUCUAACUAUUGUGUUCAACAUAAAUUAUUGCUAGGAGUUUAGAUCUAUAUUUAUGCCUUUUGUUCCUGAUGCAUAUUAUUAGAUGGUGACUCGAAUUCCUGACAAUAUAUGGGUUCUCUACUAUAUGUUUGAAGAAUUUUGAGAAAAAAUCUAUACAUACGAUUGUUUCCAAUUGUGAAAACAUACAUAAUUCUCCAACUAUAAUCAUGUUUAGAUAGAAAAAAAGAUUGAAAAAGAACAUGUAUACUAGUUGAAGUUGAACAUUUUACUGUUGUUGUAUGUUUGCUUUCUAUGUAUGCCCAAUAUGUUGACCGUCUUUGAUUUGAGCAUUUACUAAUACAUAAAAAUAAAAGUAGGCAGCAACAUUUUGUAAUAUCGACCUACUAAUUGAUUUUGUUAAGUUUGAUUAAUUCAGUAGUUUCAAUUAACCUUUCAUGUGUGUACCCACCUAGAAUAGGUUUAUCAUUUAAAACAAAUAUACUUUGUUCUUACUCGCAACAAGUUAGGUAGCAAUAAUUGUAAUUUAAAACGGCCUACAUAAUUGACAAUUAAGCCACUUAUUAUAUUGUUAUGUUUGUCAAUGGCAUCUGGAAAUUAUGACACUUUCAACCAUCAGAUUCAUUUAUUAGAUGUUUGUUUUCAUGAUCUGAUUUAAAGAACCCUAUGCUAUUUAUUCUUAGUGCUUCAAGUUAUAUAAAUUAAUAUGAUGGGUGGGUAUAAUAUAUUAUGGGAGAGUAUUUGAAUAGUCAUCUACAAAUUUACUGUUGUAAGCAUUUUCUCUAUUACUUUAGUUUUGUGCCUUUGUGAAACCAUGGAUGGAGGUGUUGCUGCCAUCGAAGUUCUUGUCCAAAACUUGAUCAGCGUUUUGAAGGAAGAGUACUCUCUACUUCGAGGUCUCGAUGGAGAUGCCCAACAGCUGCAAAGGACUUUGAUGUUGAUAAUGUCUUGGAUGAACUCAGCUAUCAAAUUCUCGAAAAACAAGUGAAGAAAUUGAAGACCAUCAAUCUCAGUCCCAAGGCCAAGGAUAGGGUACUAUCAUGCUUCUUCUCACCGUGCAAAAUAAUAUCGCGUCGGCAUAAUAUGGCUCCCGCAAUAAAAAAAAUUAAUGCGGAGUUUGAGUCUAUGAACAAAAGGGAAAUUGAUCUUGGCCUUUAAAGCAAACUUCUGAAUGCACCUGUUGCUUCUGAAACUUCCAUUGAGACUGAUUCGUUCAUUCUUGACCCAAUCUUUAUUGGAAGAGAUGAUGAUGUGCCAAAACUAGUUGGCAUGCUGACACAUAUCCCCGAAGAUCGGACCUUCUCCAUCAUUGCUCUUGUCGGAAUGGGGGGUAUGGGGAAGACUACAUUGAGUAAGAUUGUCUUCAAUUAUAAAAGCAUAAAGGCUCGAUUCAGAUCACUUAUUUGGGUUCAUGUUUCUCAAACUUUUGACUCAAGAAGAUCUCAAGGAUAAAACUUAUCUUCUCGUACUUGAUGAUGUGUGGAAUGAAAAUGUUGGGCAAUGGGAAUGCUUUAUAAACUCCAUGUCAGGAGUUACUUCUACAAAAGGAAAUGGAAUUAUCAUCACUACUAGGAUUGACAAUGUUGCUUCAAUUGUUAACUCAUUUCAUAUUCACUCUUUAAAAGGCUUAUCAGAUGAACAGUGCUGGUCCAUCAUUAAAGUAAAAAUUUUUGAUGAAAAUGCAGAAGUUCCAUCAGGAUUUGAGACGAUUGGGAAAGAGAUUGCAAAGAGAUGUCAGGGUUUGCCCUUGGCUGCCAACCUGGUUGGGGGUGUGCUUCGUCGCUUUAAAUCCGUACAAGAUUGGCGAUCCAUCAAAGAAAAUUGGCUUUCAGAUGGUGAAGGAGGUGAAAAUAUUUUAACAAUAUUAAAAUUGAGCUUUGAUCACCUGUCUUCGGCCGCACUCAAGAAGUGCUUCGCUUAUUGUUUGAUUUUCCCCAAAGGUCAGGAAAUUAUGAAAGAUGAGCGGAUUGAACUUUGGAUGGCAGAAGGAUUUCUUCAACCUACCUACCCAAAGAGAUGAUAUGGAGUCUGUGGGAACAUGUUUUUCAAUGUUCUUGCACAAAACUCUAUGUUGCAAGUUGAUGAGAAAUAUUAUUAUUAUAAAGAUAAAUAUUGUGUGAUGCACGAUCUUGUGCAUGAUCUUGCAUCUUCUGUUUUAUCUAAUAAAACAGAUGGAAACACCCUAUUUCGAUACAUGUUUCACGAAAACGAAUCAAGUGAUAUUCCAGAAGAAGUGACGAGAAAUUUGCGUACAUUGCUCUUGGGAGGUGGAACUUCUCGUACCAUAUUCUCUAGCUUCAAAAGUCUGCAUAAUCUAACUCUGUAUGGUUACAGUAAUGAAGAGUUGCCCAGUUCAAUUAGGGAGUUGAUACAUUUGUGAAAUCUCAAUAUUUCCUAUACUGAUAUUAUAAACAUUCUAGAGUGGAUUGGAGAACUCCAUCACUUGCAAACAUUAAGAUAGGUAAUAUGGAAACUGAAGAAACUGCUAAAUAUGUUGAAGUACCUAAUUAAUUUAAGGCUUCUUUAUCUAUCGUAUGAAACAAAGUUGCCGAGAUUGAGAGAUUAACUAGUCUCCAAACACUCUGGUACUUUGCAGUGGGCGAAGAGAAGGGCUAUCAAAUUGAAGAGCUUGGAAGUUUGAAUUAUCUCAAAGGAGGACUAGAGAUUGGGAAUGUUGAAAGAGUGCGUGACAAGGAAGAGUCUAUGAAAGCUAAUACAUUGGCGAAGUCAAACUUGUCAGAAUUGGCACUUAGUUGGGAUGCCGAGGAUAGUGUCGGUGAAAGAAAUGAUGAAAGUAUAUUGGAAGGCCUCCAACCUCAUGUAAAUUUGAAAGUGUUGAAGAUAAGAUUUCCAACAUGGAUGGAAAAGAUGGCAGUAUGGGAUGCGCGUCAAGGCUCUUGGGUACCACUUGACAACUUGAUAGAGUUAACACUUGGGAAUUGCUCAGAAUGUGAGGAAAUCCCAACGCUUGAGCACCUGCCUAAUCUGAAAUUACUUUAUUUGUUUAGAUUGAAGAAGGCCAGGUUCCUAAAUUCUUCGUUCAAAAAUUUAAGGACUCUCGUAAUAUCUAGAUUAGAAAUGAAAUGUCUGCCGAAGCAGUUAUUCUAUAACAAUCAGAAUAUCUCAACAUUUUGGAUUCAUAUGUACCUUGGGUUGAGAGAGAAUUACCAGAUGGCCUACACACCCUCCAUUCUCUGGAGGAGUUGACUAUAAAUGACUGUGAAAAUCUAAAGACAGUUGGCAAUCAAAGUGACGGAGUAAGAAAAUAUGAAAGAAUCCUCCGUGAGCUGCAAAUUGUAGGGUGCAGAGAGCUGGUGGAAUUUCCACUUCAAAUUUUGGAGUCGUCCAUACCCACGAUCGAGACACUCAUAUUGAAAGGAUUAUGGAAACUAAAGAAUCUACCAAUGCUAAUUGACUGCCUCGCUAAAUCAUCUCCUCGUCUUGAAGAAUUAGCAAUCACGGGUGUUCCGAAUUUCAUGGCUAGUGGUAGAGUUGAGAGUUGGGAUUUAGGCAAGUUGAGGAAACUAGAGAUAGAUGUGAGUGUUGAGUGGUCAAUGGAGAGUAGUGAUGCCAUCAGAGAGACUGUGCAUGGUAUGUUGCAAGGAUGUUGCAAUUCACUAACUGAGUUAUACUUGAAGGGGAUUGAAAAUUGGGAGUGGGUGCCUCAAUCAAUUCAACAUCUCACUGCACUUCAUUGGUUGAAGUUAGAAAAUAUAGGGGGAGAAGAAUUGCCACAGUGGCUGGGGAACCUCUCAUCUCUAAGGGAAUUAUGCCUACAUGGUUGGAACAGAUUGCGGUGCCUUCCCUCUGUGGUGGCGCGUCUCACUAAAUUAAUAAGGUUAGAAAUUGGAGAUUGCCCGAACUACACAUUGAUUCGGAGUGGCGCAACCAUCCCAAUCUGAAAAUCAAUGUUUAUGGCACAAGUAGAGUGCAGAGGUGAAAAUGAUGUCCGGAUGAAGUUGGAACCGAAAACCAAAGUCAAGAGACGCUCCACGCGGACAGCGGGAUUCAUCAAAACAUUCCACACGGACUGCGGGAGUCAUCUUCGAUGUCGGUAUAUUUACAUACCUCUAUUUUACUUGGAAAUUGGAUGAAAGCAUAGAAGAGGAAAUUGCACGUUUUAUCUUGUUCAUAGAGAAAUUCAUAUAUAUGUUGACUUAGUGUUGGAAAGAAAUCACGGAAUUAAGGUGAUUGAUUCCAAAUUGAUUGUAUACCAUAAUUAGAAUAUGAUCUCCUAUGAUUUAGUUUCCAUAUGUAAAAUAUCUCAUGGCUAUAAAG